rnacentral:rRNA from 1 species
UGAGGAAUAUUGGUCAAUGGGCGAGAGCCUGAACCAGCCAAGUAGCGUGCAGGACGACGGCCCUAUGGGUUGUAAACUGCUUUUAUGUGGGGAUAAAGUGCGUGACGUGUCAUGCAUUGCAGGUACCACAUGAAUAAGGACCGGCUAAUUCCGUGCCAGCAGCCGCGGUAAUACGGAAGGUUCGGGCGUUAUCCGGAUUUAUUGGGUUUAAAGGGAGCGUAGGCUGUUUGUUAAGCGUGUUGUGAAAUGUAGGAGCUCAACUUUUAGAUUGCAGCGCGAACUGGCAGACUUGAGUGCGCACAACGUAGGCGGAAUUCAUGGUGUAGCGGUGAAAUGCUUAGAUAUCAUGACGAACUCCGAUUGCGAAGGCAGCUUACGGGAGCGCAACUGACGCUAAAGCUCGAAGGUGCGGGUAUCGAACAGG